rnacentral:rRNA from 1 species
GACGAAGGAUCCAAGCGUUAUCCGGAUUUAUUGGGUUUAAAGGGUGCGUAGGCGGAUUGAUAAGUCAGUGGUGAAAGCCUGCAGCUUAACUGCAGAACUGCCAUUGAUACUGUCAAUCUUGAAUAUGGUUGAUGUGGGCGGAAUAUGACAUGUAGCGGUGAAAUGACUUAGAUAUGUCAUAGAACACCGAUUGCGAAGGCAGCUCACAAAGCCAUUAUUGACGCUGAGGCACGAAAGCGUGGGGAUCAAACAGG